rnacentral:rRNA from 1 species
GCUAUGUUUUCGUGCAGGUGAUGGUACACUUCCGUUUGGCAAAAAUACCUGAGAAGCACAUAAUGAAGUGCUGGACAAGACAGGCUCGUGACAUUCUUCCUGAACACUUGGUUAGGUACCAGAAAGACAGAGGGCUUCCUGCGAGUGAUACAUUCAGGCAUCACACUAUGUACAUGUAAGCGCUUGAGUGUGUGGUACUUGGUGACAGCAAUGUGAAAUGUUAUGAAGUUUUCAUGACUAUGAUGAAGGAGGUCCAUGCCACUCUGCCGCCUUUCAGUGUAGACAAGGAUGGUUU